rnacentral:rRNA from 1 species
GACGAACGCUGGCGGCGUGCUUAACACAUGCAAGUCACGGGGGCCCGCAAGGGUAACCGGCGAACGGGUGCGUAACACGUGAGCAAGCUUCCGAUUAGUGGGGGAUAGCCGGCCUAACGGCCGGGUAAUACCGCAUACGAUCACCGGGCGGCAUCGUCUGGUGAGGAAACCUCCGGGGCUAAUCGAGGCGCUCGCGGCCUAUCAGCUAGUUGGCGGGGUAAUGGCCCACCAAGGCGAUGACGGGUAGCUGGUCUGAGAGGAUGGCCAGCCACAUUGGGACUGAAACACGGCCCAGACUCCUACGGGAGGCAGCAGUGGGGAAUAUUGCGCAAUGGACGAAAGUCUGACGCAGCGGCGCCGCGUGUGGGAUGAAGCCUUUCGGGGCGUAAACCACUGUUGCCCGGGACGAAUCUCCCCUUUCGAGGGGAUUGACGGUACCGGGUGAGGAAGCACCGGCUAACUCUGUGCCAGCAGCCGCCGUAACAC